UAUCUGAUAACAAUAUAAGUUGUUUUACAAAUAGUUAAAUCAAGAUUAUAUAUACAUUAAAAUGUUUGUCAUUCAGACAGAUAUUAGGGGUUCACACUAAUUUCUAAUUCCUCAGAACUGAUAAAUGGGUGAAAAACAUUAACCAAGUUUGAAUAGGGGGAAAUGUUCAUUUCUUUGUGAUUGAUCUGUUUUGUUAUGAAUGGAAAUUGUCAUACUCUAUGAGUUCUAAGCUGAAAAGCAUGUCUGCCACUGGACAGAAAUAUGGGCAUCAUCAUAUAUAACUCUAUUCAGUGUCACUUCUUUUCCCAUCAACUCGCUGUUAAAAGUUUAUGAAUAUGCAUACAAAUAAUAUCAAAACUCACUAUAAAAUGCAUUAUUUAAGACAGUAGCAUUUUAAUCCAUAACUUGCUAUGGAAAAUAUAAAUAAAUAAGCCUAGUUUUUUUCAUUUUUUUGUUUUCCUAAUCAAAUUACAAUAUUCCUGUACUUUAUUUUUCACUGUUUAUAUAACUAAGUUACUACCUAAGGUAGAAGGCAGCACACCCUGCAAAGUCUUCACUAUGUUAAGGUCAGAUAAUCAAUUUUUUUAUCCCAAAAGACACAACUAAUACAGUACAGAGAAUUACCACUCAAUAUUAGCAGCUGUUUUUGUUAAGAUGAGCUUUUAUGGG
rnacentral:lncRNA from 1 species